GGAAGUGCAAGAAGUUUAAGAUUUUAAGCAACUCAUGUCCUUAGUAAUUUUUAAUUUUGAUUACCACUAAAUCUUAAAUAAUUAAUUGGAGAGAGAAAGUAUAGAAACACCUUUUGAUGAAUCAUGACUGAUGUAUCUUAACAAGGUGAAGCUUAACUAAGUCGUGCAAUUUCUACGUCAAGGCGUUAAAGUUAGCAGCACUGCCACCAGACUAUUCUCAUCUCGUGCUAUCUGGGACAUCAAGAACCUAUCAUUCAAAUUUCAAUUACGUUACAGCUUACACUUACAGUUUAUAUCAAAGUAGGACAAGACUGUAAAAUGUUUGUAUAAUACUUAAUAAAGGAACGAAUAGUUAGAUAUGUUCACUUCAAAAUGAGCUGGAAGACUGUGUUCGUUAUCUUAAUCGUUGCAGAAAUCCAUUUACGGGUUUCAGCCUUGAAAUGCCACUGUGAUAGUUGCAAAAAGGAGAUGAACAACACAUGCGAAACUGAUGGAGUCUGUUUCACAUCAAUUGCUCUCACUGAUAAAGGCACCAUUUUUAGUUACAGGAUAACAGAGAUGUUGGCCUGAUGGAUAUGGAUUUAUAAAUGACUCCUUGUAUAACCCUGUUGGCCAUUGAGGGGAGAGAUAACUGUCAAAUAUUCAACUAUGAGAAUCAAAGUUUUAACUCACAAAAACAAACAAAAAAAAACGUUUAUGCUUGAAAGUUUCUGGAAUUUCCAAGGAAGAGCAAUUAUUCUAAAAUUUAGAACUUGGAAGGAAUGAAGAGUUUUUAUAAAAAACAAAAACUGUGUUGCAUUUUAAUAUAAAUUAUUUAAUAAAUGAGGUUUUGUU